rnacentral:rRNA from 1 species
AUUGAACGCUGGCGGCAUGCUUUACACAUGCAAGUCGAACGGUAACAGGCCGCAAGGUGCUGACGAGUGGCGAACGGGUGAGUAAUGCAUCGGAACGUGCCCAGUCGUGGGGGAUAACGCAGCGAAAGCUGUGCUAAUACCGCAUACGAUCUAUGGAUGAAAGCGGGGGACCGUAAGGCCUCGCGCGAUUGGAGCGGCCGAUGUCAGAUUAGGUAGUUGGUGGGGUAAAGGCUCACCAAGCCAACGAUCUGUAGCUGGUCUGAGAGGACGACCAGCCACACUGGGACUGAGACACGGCCCAGACUCCUACGGGAGGCAGCAGUGGGGAAUUUUGGACAAUGGGCGCAAGCCUGAUCCAGCAAUGCCGCGUGCAGGAAGAAGGCC